GUUUAAAUGCUAAACAAACUAAAAAAAAUUGAAAAGCUCUUAAGGUUAGCCUAGAAAAUAUGCUUGGAGCCAGGAAGUGACUGAAUUUGACAACAACGUAACCAACAUCUGAGUUCAUUACGUUUUCUGGCAUAGAGAGGCAGGCAGAUGGCUUCUUAAUGUGCAUCUAGACCAACUCCUAUUAUGUGGUUAGUUGAUAACGCAAAUUAUUUUAGACUACCUAUAAAUAUGACAAUGUUCAUUUUCCUUUGGCGUAUUUCAUAGUUUCAAACAAAUACUCUACCUUACAUUUGUACCAUUGGGAAGUAAAACUAAUUGUCAGAUUUUUUUACAAUGUAUCACAACACCUAUAAAUGCUGGCAAACUGUCAUGCCUUGGGUACAGAAUGAAAGUCACAAGUCAAUUGUAUUGUUGUGGUUUUUUCCCAUUCAUAUUGUACAGCUACAUUUUUUUUAAAUAUGUUGUUACAUGUUAUGUAUUUGAUCCUGUUGUCAUUUAAGUGCCUUCAUGGGAAUGUGGUCUGAAUUACAGGAUUACAGGUUUGUGAGUAUUCAAGAGUAUUCAAAUGUUUAAACGACGUUAUAAAUCGAAUGGACUUCUGACGUAUUCUGACAUACAAUAAAUAUACUGUAAAGAUUAUUUGUGAUAGUUUUAUUCAUUUCAGAAAACAAUAUUUGAAAUAUACUGAUAAAUAAUGAUCAGUUUUGCAUUUGGAAAGACGUAAAACAGUGCCCAGGAUGGCUAGCUGUCCACCACUAGAUGCCGCUUUAGGUCCGUGUCGCCACUGUUUAAACCGUCUGCACGUGAUGCGUCCUGACGAUGGUUUUGGACCGAGGGAGAUCCGGGGUUAUUUGAAAAACUAUUCUCCUAGCACGCUCAGGGAUAACACUCUGGUUUUAAUAUUCCGGUUUUAGUCCGUAAUGUAUUCACCACGUUAAAAUGACAGUUAAGGAAAUGUCCUCAUCAUCGCUCUCAAACGCAUCUUUGGGCAGGCGGACGACACCCGAAGCGGACAAGAGGUUCUUCACAAAAACGUAGCCUCUGACGACGCCUUGCUCUUCUAUGGAUAUGCUGAUUAGAAGAAGGAAGAGGAGCAUAGCCACAUCUGUGUACUGUAUUUAUGAUAUGUAUAAUACGCAUCAUGUGUAUUGACACACCUGGAUAAACAAUAAAACAUGAACCGAUGCAGAUUUCUGUACUGGUGCAUUUUAAUCAAAUAUGUCUACAUAACAGCCUAUGGUAAUGAUUACUGGAUGCUGAGAAUACUGCACAUCUCUGCUGGCUGGUAUAUAAACACCCUGUCAGACACACAAGGCCUCUAAUGCAUUAGGUCUAAUAUCUGGACUGUUUGGCUGUCUAGCGAUACAUAUAUGUGUGCACAUACAAAGAUACACAUACACACAUAGCUAUUCAGCUACUGAUUUGAGUGACAGAAUAUGAAAGGCACCCGGAAUUGAAAAUACAUCACAUACAAAACAAGGGAUGGGUGAUCCAAUCCAUUAUGUCUUCAGUGUUGUGAAGGAGGCCAAUGUUCUCUCAAAUCUCUUCAAAAAUAUGUACUUUUGAUAGAAUUUGUUUCCAUUCGUGGCAUUGUCAUGAAAGAAUAUGAAUGAAUAAAUAAUUAAAUAAAUACA